AGAAAUGGAAUAGUAGCUAUGAUGUUGGCUCGGCUCACUCAGACGACGUACGCGCGCGAGAUCAUGUGCUAUGCCGCUGCUGUUUCUGAUUGAGCCGUGCCAAUAUCUUAGUACUCUUCCAUGCAU
rnacentral:pre_miRNA from 1 species